UCCCUGGUGGCUCAGAUGGUAAAGAAUCUGCCUGCAAUGCAGAAGACCCAGGUUUGAUCCCUGGGUUGGGAA
rfam:TPA: Bos taurus chromosome X, whole genome shotgun sequence.